GACGAACGCUGGCGGCGUGCUUAACACAUGCAAGUCGAACGUGAUUUUUGUGGAAAUUCUUUCGGGAAUGGAAAUGAAAUGAAAGUGGCGAACGGGUGAGUAACACGUGAGCAACCUACCUUACACAGGGGGAUAGCCGUUGGAAACGACGAUUAAUACCGCAUGAGACCACAGAAUCGCAUGAUAUAGGGGUCAAAGAUUUAUCGGUGUAAGAAGGGCUCGCGUCUGAUUAGCUAGUUGGAAGGGUAAAGGCCUACCAAGGCGACGAUCAGUAGCCGGUCUGAGAGGAUGAACGGCCACAUUGGAACUGAGACACGGUCCAAACUCCUACGGGAGGCAGCAGUGGGGAAUAUUGCACAAUGGGGGGAACCCUGAUGCAGCGACGCCGCGUGAGCGAAGAAGGUUUUCGAAUCGUAAAGCUCUGUCCUAUGAGAAGAUAAUGACGGUAUCAUAGGAGGAAGCCCCGGCUAAAUACGUGCCAGCAGCCGCGGUAAUACGUAUGGGGCGAGCGUUGUCCGGAAUUAUUGGGCGUAAAGGGUACGUAGGCGGUUUUUUAAGUCAGGUGUGAAAGCGUGAGGCUUAACCUCAUUAAGCACUUGAAACUGGAAGACUUGAGUGAAGGAGAGGAAAGUGGAAUUCCUAGUGUAGCGGUGAAAUGCGUAGAUAUUAGGAGGAAUACCGGUGGCGAAGGCGACUUUCUGGACUUUUACUGACGCUCAGGUACGAAAGCGUGGGGAGCAA
rnacentral:rRNA from 1 species